UUUAUGGAGAGUUUGAUCCUGGCUCAGGAUGAACGCUGGCGGCGUGCCUAAUACAUGCAAGUCGAGCGAACGGACGAGAAGCUUGCUUCUCUGAUGUUAGCGGCGGACGGGUGAGUAACACGUGGAUAACCUACCUAUAAGACUGGGAUAACUUCGGGAAACCGGAGCUAAUACCGGAUAAUAUUUUAAACCGC
rnacentral:rRNA from 1 species